rnacentral:rRNA from 1 species
GAUGAACGCUAGCGGCAGGCCUAACACAUGCAAGUCGAGGGGCAGCACGUCUUCGGAUGGUGGCGACCGGCGCACGGGUGCGUAACGCGUAUGCAACCCACCUCUUACAGUGGGAUAGCCCAGAGAAAUUUGGAUUAAUACCGCAUAGUAUACAGAUUCAGCAUUGGGACUGUAUUAAACAUUUAUGGGUAAGAGAUGGGCAUGCGUUCUAUUAGUUAGUUGGAGUGGUAACGGCACCCCAAGACAGCGAUAGAUAGGGGCCCUGAGAGGGGGAUCCCCACACUGGUACUGAGACACGGACCAGACUCCUACGGGAGGCAGCAGUGAGGAUAUUGGACAAUGGGCGAGAGCCUGAUCCAGCCAUGCGCGUGCAGGAGACGGCCU